UAGAGUUUCAAUAUCAAACUCCCCAAAAUUAAUAGAAUGAAUAUACAGAGAAGUAGAAGGAUAUAGUAGACCUGAAAAGCACAGUGAACCAAUUCAACAUAAGAUUUAUACAAUUUUCACACAAGAGUAGGUACAAAUUCUGUUCAAGUUCUCAUAGACAAACCCAUAGACCAACAUUCAUGGGUCUUUUUGCCACUUCUGUCAACUUUUCACAUACUUAAUCCUCACAUGCACCCCUUGAAGCGUAGGUAUUAUCCUUCUAAGCCACAGGUUAAAGUGUUCAGAGCCUGAAAGAAGUUUAAAUUCCAGCUCACUUGAUCCUACCCCAGCCCAUCUCCCAUCUGCUGAUCUUUCUUUAAUCCAGUGACAAAUUUCUCAUAGCAAUAUCCAGUUCACUCAGGUCAUCUCAGCAUUGGAAUCAGAAGGAACACAGAGAAAAGGGAAGUCCAUAGCAAAAUCAUAUUAAGUCGAAGUUCCCAAGAAAUUAUUCUGUCACCCAAUUACUGAGAGGCUUAAGGAAAAAUUAAGUAGGCUAAAGUUUAAAUAUAAGGCAAAAGUUUUGCUUCAGGUUAAUGGUUUAGAGAAUUUGUAGUUCUGUUUGCAAACUGAAUAUGUUAUUUGUGGUGUACCAAGACUCCAGUGAUGCCUCCCGUGAGACAGAAGACCCGCUCCUCCCCAUCUGUACCUGCAGAAAAAUCUGACAUGUCAUCUGAUUGCAACCCACCCGACCUGGGUGGGUCUUGCAGUGCUUCAUGGAUACAAGGGAAAUAGCUAUUUACAGGCCCCUUAGAGUGCAGCCCAGGCUCAGAAACCCCAUCCUGUGAUUUUCUGCAGUUCAUCACGGUGCCCUUUCCACCAGCCAAGAAUACCGUGAAGUGCCACUGACAUAUUUGUUAAGGUUUUGAAAAACAAGAGCACAUUGAAAAGUAAAGGAUCCUUCAUGAAACCGAAGUGGGAUUUAGCCCACAUGUUUUCCUUCACCUGCCUGUUGAAGCAUACAUAUAUGAUUCUAAAGCAGAAAGCCUAAACAAUGAGAUCAUGGCAUGCAUGUCAUCUUGGUAUUCCAUCAGGAUGAAAUUUGCCUAAGGAAUUUAAAUUCCAGUUGCCUAAGGAAUGCAAAUUACAAAAACCCUCCAAGAGCCUGUGGCAGGGGAAACUCAGGUAGGUCUGUGCAGUUGCAGUGAAAUUGGACCCAUUCUCCAGGGAAUGAUCAGUUCUUUGCAGGCUGGGGGUUUGCUAAAUCAUGUCGGCAGCUGUAGCCAAAGUAAUUACCCUCACUGUGUAUACACAGUUCCCAUUAGAGCAGCCGGUUUGCCUGUCUGGACCCAAGGCUGUGUUGACACCUAUAGUAUAAACACCUCUUUGGAGAGAUUUUUCAUCUCAUUAGACUUAAAAAGAAGUGAAUUGAGGGCUAGAAAUGUUAUUCCUCAUAGGGGAUUUUCAUUUCUUUCUUUCUCUUUUCAGUCAAGAUACAAAGCACCACGGAGAACAAAAACCUUACUCUUUUUAUUAUGACUUGACAUCAGCCAUGAUUGGGUGAUGCUGUUCCCACAAAAACAGUGACUUGUUCCCAUAAAAAUUGUCUGAUUCCUGAGGAAAUCGUUUCAGAAAUCUUUGUAGGUUACAGGAAAGCAGGAAAUGAAGAGGUCAUACAGACUGUAAAGAUUAUUAAAGCAAGAAGAGAUGUGAAGUCCCUGGGGCCGUGCAAAAUGUUGCAAUAUCUCAAAAGAGCUAGAGAAUAUUUCACCCCAUGACCCAGAAUACUGAAAAUGGGAUAUGUUUUCCUGCCACCAUCCGGAAAGGAAAGAAGAUAAAUUUCCAGAAACCGAGCAACCUGACUGGUAUUCAGCCUAUCUCUGCUAGAUGGAUUGAAGAAUUCUUUAUCCCACUGCCCUCACUGGGCAAGGACAGCAAUAUGAGGGAAUGCUAUGGGACAUGGGCUGGAGGCCUCAUGGAGAAGUGGAAUGGAAAAAGAGUGACUGGCAUCAACUAAAAAACUUAAUUAAAUGGAAUAAAUGUGCACAUCAAAUUUUUUAAAAGUCAGAAAUUGCCCUAGAGUCCCUGAUACUCAGACCCAGUCCCUGUUUCACAAAGUUGGUGUUUCCCAGAGAAAAGAACUGGUUGCUACUUCAUUAUCUUUAAAAAAUAAAAUAAAAGGCAAGAAAAGUCUAAUUCAAAUUAUGCCUUAGCACAAUAAGCCUGUACAAACUAAUUAAAAGACUUGGUUGAUUUUAUAAGAAACUACAUCCUCCCCUGUGUAGUGUCUUUUGCUAUCCUGUGAUAAGCAGCAGUUUCAACUGGCAGUUAUGUGCCAUUAAAUUGAUUAUAAUUAAUAAUAGUUAUAUGUCAUUUAGAGCU